UGGAACACAAGAUGAAGGGAGUUUGGAUCUCAGUUGCCCAAGACUUCUCAGUUACCAAUAGGUUGGGCUAGUUUUGGACCCAGGUCAGUCUGGCUCCAUAUUUUACCCACUUCUUCUCCUUCCCCAAUCCUAAAACACUUGGGAGCCGAAAGGAAAAGUCCUAAUGGAACUUGGGUGUUCCCUGAGGGGUCCAAAGGAGAUUUCCUGGAGUCAGAAUGGCCAAGUUUCCUGAAGUUAAACAGUUGACACAGACAAAUAACAGACACUCCCAGAAACAUGAAACCAACAGCCAACGAACCGACCAACAGUCAACCAACGGAUCUACAGCAGCACCAACAAAAAAUGGUCUUUUCAACAGAUGAAGAAUCUGAGCUUCAGGAAGGUUAAGCAGGUUUGCCUGAGAUCACAAAGCUGGCCAUAGAAGAGGAAGGACGUGUGAAUGUGGAAGAUGGGUUGUGAUGGUCUGACUUUCCUGGCCUGAGGACAGCAGCAACAAUCCUGAAUUCCUCUGGAUGGGUCUCUUCCACCCGUCUGGAGUGGAUCUGGGACAGAAUGAGGUCCUAGGAUCUCAACCGAGCAUGAUGAAAUUUAACUCUGAGUUUCCCAAGGCCCCCAGACAAACAGAGAAACAAGACCAGUAUGUAACACUCCACGUGAGCUAUCUUCGGUUCAUUAAGUCCAUGAGCAGUUACUGAUUACCAUGCUCUGCUGAUCUCUGAGCCCAAUCCCAAGGAAACAAGAAGUCAGGCACCAUGGAUCUCUGCAGUCAAAAGGACUUCAGUAGCACUGUCCAGAGGAAAUGUAAGAACCACAAAUGGAAGCCACAUAUGGGAUUCUAGUUUUUCUAACAGCCACAUGAAAAAAAACACCAAAAGAAACAGGUGAACUUAUUUUAAUAGCCUGUUUUAACUCAAUAUACAUAAAAUGUUAUUGUCUCAACAUGUAAUCAAUAUAAAACUGAUUAAGGAAAUGUUCUUUUUUUUUUUUUAAUACUUUGAAAUCUGGUGUUUAUUGUAUCCUUCCAACACUUUCCACUCUGACCAGUCACAAGUCCAGUGCUCGGUAGCCCUGUGAGGUCCGUGUCUACUGUAUGGGACAGUAUGGAUUUAUAAUCUAAGAAAAUAAACUUUUCUUUUUCUUCAGCUUUCAGAAGAAAGGGUUAUGGCGUUUGGUGCUGGAGGCUGGGACAUUCACAUUGUUUCACAAGUGAUCCCUUGCAUUUCUUUUUCUUUUCAAUUUGUUUUUAAGUUCACAAGUAGUGAAUAAAUUUUUAUUAUAAGGGAAGCAAUCAAGUAAGUUGCCCCUUAACCCUCCCUCAAUACUGUUCCAUUCCCAGAAGUAGCUUAUCUAUCCCUUGGCUAUAGAUUCUUCUAUGUUUUUACAUGCAUGUAUGUCUUAUUUUAUUGUGCAAAAAUAUCACACAGUCCAUAUUGUUCUGCAACUUGGUUUUCUGACAUAGCAGUAUUUCUCAGUACUCUUUUCACGUUCAUAUGUUGAAUCACCUCAUUCUCUUCAAUGACUGCAUGAUAUCCCAUGGCCAUUUCUCUGUUGAAUGGCUUUUGGCUGUUUCUAAUGUGUUUUUUUCAUUAUUAGUAAUACAGCUAUCA